rnacentral:rRNA from 1 species
AUACGGAGGAUCCGAGCGUUAUCCGGAUUUAUUGGGUUUAAAGGGAGCGUAGGUGGACAUGUAAGUCAGUUGUGAAAGUUUGCGGCUCAACCGUAAAAUUGCAGUUGAUACUGUGUGUCUUGAGUACAGUAGAGGUGGGCGGAAUUCGUGGUGUAGCGGUGGAAUGCUUAGAUAUCACGAAGAACUCCGAUUGCGAAGGCAGCUCACUGGACUGUUACUGACACUGAGGCUCGAAAGUGUGGGUAUCAAACAGGAUUAGAUACCCUGGUAGUCCACACAGUAAACGAUGAAUACUCGCUGUUUGCGAUAUACAGCAAGCGGCCAAGCGAAAGCAUUAAGUAUUCCACCUGGGGAGUACGCCGGCAACGGUGAAACUCAAAGGAAUUGACGGGG